UGUCGUCAGCUCGUGUCGUGAGAUGUUGGGUUAAGUCCCGCAACGAGCGCAACCCUCGCCCUUAGUUGUCCAGCAUUUAGUUGGGCACUCUAAGGGGACUGCCGGUGAUAAGCCGAGAGGAAGGUGGGGAGUGACGUCAAGUACCUCAUGGCCCUUACGGGCUGGGCUACACACGUGCUACAAUGGUGGUGACAGUGGGCGAGCGAGCACGCGAGUGUGAGCUAAUCUCCCAAAAAGCCAUCUCAGUUCGGAUUGCACUCUGCAACUCGAGUGCAUGAAGUUGGAAUCGCUAGUAAUCGCGGAUCAGCAUGCCACGGUGAAUACGUUCCCGGGCCUU
rnacentral:rRNA from 1 species